UACGUAGGGUGCAAGCGUUGUCCGGAAUUAUUGGGCGUAAAGAGCUCGUAGGCGGUUUGUCGCGUCUGCUGUGAAAACUCGGGGCUUAACUCCGGGCCUGCAGUGGGUACGGGCAGACUAGAGUGCGGUAGGGGAGAGUGGAAUUCCUGGUGUAGCGGUGAAAUGCGCAGAUAUCAGGAAGAACACCCGGUGGCGAAGGCGGGCUCUC
rnacentral:rRNA from 1 species